rnacentral:rRNA from 1 species
UACGGAGGGUCCAAGCGUUAUCCGGAAUCAUUGGGUUUAAAGGGUCCGUAGGCGGCCUUAUAAGUCAGUGGUGAAAUCUCCUAGCUCAACUAGGAAACUGCCAUUGAUACUGUAGGGCUUGAAUUUUUGUGAAGUAACUAGAAUAUGUAGUGUAGCGGUGAAAUGCUUAGAUAUUACAUGGAAUACCAAUUGCGAAGGCAGGUUACUAACAAACGAUUGACGCUGAUGGACGAAAGCGUGGGGAGCGAACAGGAUUAGAUACCCUGGUAGUCCACGCCGUAAACGAUGGAUACUAGCUGUUCGGAGCAAUCUGAGUGGCUAAGCGAAAGUGAUAAGUAUCCCACCUGGGGAGUACGUUCGCAAGAAUGAA